AUUUUUUGACAGGAUUUCAUCUUGUAUCUGUCUACCUCUCUUCCUUCCUUCUUUUCUUUCUUGCUUAUUCUUCUUUGAAUACAAUGACUUCUAGAAAGCAAAAAGAAGACAGUAAGUUAAAGACUUGGUGAGUGGACAGGUGCUGUGGACAGAGGCCUUAGCAUUUAAUUUUUUUUAUUCAGAGCUGUUAUAAAAUAUCUUCCACCUAAGAAGCCCAGUCAGCAAUCAGAGCUUCACUAUCCCCACUCCUUUUACCUCCACUUUCCACCUCCUCACUUCUCUCUUGUCCUUCCCUCUAACCUUUUCCAAGGCCCUCCUUUCCGCCGUCCAGCCCUCCCCAGACCUUUUUCCCCCAUAGGGCCUAACACAGGGACCAGGCCAGAAAAGAGAAAGGUGGCUGGCAGGCAGAGGAAGAGGGGAAAGGAGAAGGGGGAGAGAAAAGAAGAGGGGAAAGGGGUGGGGUGGAAGGGAGCCGGCAGGAACGGUGGCGCUUACAACCUUUGUCUCCACCCCAGGAGACUUUAUAAUAUUCCUCUCACCUACCUGGCACUGAUCGGGUCAGUUUCUUCCUCCUCCUUUUCUAGCUUUGGGUCUUGCUGGAAACAACAGCCCUGCAGAUAAACUGGAAACGGGAGGGGACGGUGGGGGUGGGGCGAGCGCUUGGUGGGCCGACCAGCGCCAGAGACUGACACACGUAGCUUUCCUCCUUUAGGGUUUCGGAUAUGGAAAGUUUCCCACCUUUUGUUUCCCCUAGUUCACCCCCUCUCCACAGUGCAUGCAAGUCAGUUCGUUUUUCCCAUCAGACAAAGAGUGAGAAAGCAGAUUAUUUCCAAACUAUCUUUAAGACUGAGGCGGGGUUCGGGAGGAGGGUGGGGGUCCGGAAAGCAGUCUUAGAUAGCAGAGGAUGAUUAUUUUUAAACUACCACAGGUCUCCCUGUUCUUCUCCUAGGACCCCUAGUCCCUUUCCCAAGGGUCAUCAGUUCCCGUAGACCUGGAGGUGGAGGGUGGAGGGACGGACCUGACCGGCACUCCCACAAGUCUCUGCCUUAAACCCCCCCACACUAGAAAUCCCCAGUCAACACCUACAGUGACACCAACCUGCAAAAUUCCCGCAAGUUUGACUCCUUCCACGGGCCUCAGGGACCACCGCCUGCGCUGCUGAAGGAAGCUGGUAUCCAGACGGGAACAAGGACCAGAUUACCAGGACUUCUGCACACGUCGACUCCUGGUCACAUGAGAUCUACGUCACCAUCCAGAGUCCUCAUGGUGGUGUUACCAGGAAGCUGUGCUGCCUGAAGAAUCAUCAAUUAAUCGUCAGGUACACAUUGUGAACCUGAGUUUCCUCAUCUGAAAGAAGGGAAUAAUAGCAUAUGCUCAUAGAAUUGAGAUCUAUUGAAAAUAAAAAUAAGAGUUAAUUUUUCAUCUGUACAAUUAGAAAAGACAAAUAUUGAUUAUAUUCAGAGUUGAUGAGCAUAUGGUAAAACAAAUAUUCACAUGUACUGUGAGACUAUUAAGUAGUACAACAUUUUUGGAAGUCAUUUUGGCAAUAUCAAACUUUAGAAGAUAUGUGCUUUUGGACACAUCAAUUCCUCUUCUAGAGAUUUAUCAUACAUUAAUACUCCUAUGCCAAAUAUGGUCAUUGUAGUAGUUGUGGCAAUAGUGUUUUUUUUAAAGAGCCAAAAACUUAUAUGUUUCUAAAAGGAAAUUGGUUUAAGAAAAGUUUGAUCAUUCAUAUAGAGCCACAUUAUACAGUGAUGAAAAAAUGAUGUGGAGUUACAUUUACUCACAUGAAAAAAAUUGUUCAAUGUAUAUUGUUAAACAAAAAAAGGCAAAUUGAAAGUUAAUUUUAUAUGUGGUAUUACAUUUUUGUAACAGUAUACAUAUUUGUGUAUUUAAAAUAUGAGUAUACAAUUAAAUUACAUGAUAACAUGAUAAGUGAAGUCCAGAAAUUCAUUCUAUAAAAUUCCAGGUUAUGUUACUGAGAGAUGGAUGGAUGGAAUGACUGAUGUGAGUCUAUUUGGCUAGCUGGCUACACAACCCAAAUUCAUCAAGGACUCAGCUGUGAUUUGUUGCCACAAACAAUUCUUCACUGAGCACUUGGACUUAAAUAUCAUCCAUCCAUUUUACUCUCUCCCCACCUGCUAUCACCAAUCAUGUUAUAUCCAAACUCAAGUUGUUUCAGGGUCUUACUGUAUUUUUAUAUCAUUAGAAAUGCAGAUGAAUAUAUCCUGAACAUCAUAGGAUAUACUUGAGAAUGUGUAUUUCAUAUAAAGAGAACUUUUAUUUUCUAAGUGUUGUAUUUAUAUAUUUAAAUUACUAAUAAGUUACACAAAUUAAUUCAAGAUGGAUUAAAGACUUAAAUGUUAGACCUAAAACCAUAAAAACCCUAGAAGAAAACCUAGGCAAUACCAUUCAGGACAUAGGCAUGGACAGGGACUUCAUGACUAAAACACCAAAAGCAAUGGCAACAAAAGCCAAAAUAGACAAAUGGGAUCUAAUUAAACUAAAGAGUUUCUGCACAGCAAAAGAAACUUCCAUCAGAGUAAACAGGUAACCUACAGAAUGGGAGAAAAUUUUUGCAGUCUACCCAUCUGACAAAGGGCUAAUAUCCAGAAUCUACAAAGAACUUAAACAAAUUUACAAGAAAAAAACCACCCCAUCAAAAAGUGGGCAAAGGAUAUGAACAGACGCUUCUCAAAAGAAGACAUUUAUGCAGCCAACAGACACAUGAAAAAAUGCUCAUCAUCACUGGUCAUCAGAGAAAUGCAAAUCAAAACCACAAUGAGAUACCAUCUCACGCCAGUUAGAAUGGUGAUCAAUAAAAAGUCAGGAAACAACAUGCUGGAGAGGAUGUGGAGAAACAGGAAUGCUUUUAUACUGUUGGUGGGAGUGUAAAUUAGUUCAACUAUUGUGGAAGACAGUGUGGCGAUUCCUCAAGUAUCUAGAACUAGAAAUACCAUUUGACCCAGUGAUUCCAUUACUGGGUAUAUAACCAAAGGAUUAGAAAUCAUGCUGCUAUAAAGACAUAUGCACACGUAUGUUUAUUGUGGCACUAUUCACAAUAGCAAAGACUUGGAACCAACCAAAAUGUCCAUCAAUGAUAGACUGGAUUUAGAAAAUGUGGCACAUAUACACCACGGAAUACUAUGCAGCCAUAAAAAAAGGAUGAGUUCAUGUCCUUUGCAGGGACAUGG
rnacentral:lncRNA from 10 species